CAGCAGCCACGGGAAUACGGAGGGUGCAAGCGUUAAUCGGAAUUACUGGGCGUAAAGCGCACGCAGGCGGUCUGUCAAGUCAGAUGUGAAAUCCCCGGGCUUAACCUGGGAACUGCAUUUGAAACUGGCAGGCUAGAGUCUUGUAGAGGGGGGUAGAAUUCCAGGUGUAGCGGUGAAAUGCGUAGAGAUCUGGAGGAAUACCGGUGGCGAAGGCGGCCCCCUGGACAAAGACUGACGCUCAGGUGCGAAAGCGUGGGGAGCAAACAGGAUUAGAGACCCCGGUAGUCCCUGUCUCUUAUAC
rnacentral:rRNA from 1 species